rnacentral:lncRNA from 1 species
CGGGGACUCGGUGCGGAGCCGGGGCGCCGAGUGUCUCCGUGUCCCUCUGCCCCAGCCGGCGGCCGCGAUGGUGGAGCUUGGCCUCUCGCUCUCUCCCGCCUCUCCAGCGACUGCUCUGCCGGCCGCGGAGGUCGGAUCGAGCGGUCAUUCAUUCAUUUGUUAAUUCGUUCACUUAUUCAGGGGAGAUCAUUGAACCCCUACGGAGUACCGGGUACUGGGCCGGGCGCUGAGGACGCGGGGCUGAGCAAAAGCAGCCGAGGCCCACCUUCGUGCCCCUUAAAACCCAGCGUGCGGGGCGGCAACGAGUACUGCUUUUCUGUUUUGCACUUAAAAUUUACAUUUUGCAUCCGUACUUUUUAUUUACUGUGCACCCUUACGGCAUGCUUUACGCACCCGUACCUGCACCUCCUAGCCUUGAGUGUAGACACCAGAUCCUGAGAUGGGCGAUUUUUCGAGAAUAAUUUUUACCCUAAGUGGAUUUUCGUGCCACGCAUGGACUUGGAACUACACACACGUAGUCCAAAACGUGAAAGUCAAAAUGCAGCUUUGCCAAGUGGCAGGGAGAAAGGAGAGCUGAGAAGAUGAGGAGAGGAAGGGCGCGCUCCAGGCUUUCCAGCCCGGGUGCGGUAGACGUAGCCCUGAAGGAUGAACCCAGGCUGGUAGUAGGGCGGCGGGAGGGCGGGGGGACCUGUCAGUCAAGUCCAAAGCAGAAACGCGGCGCCGGAUCCCAGUCAGAGGCCGGCUGGAACGCUUCCCACAGGCUCCUGGCGCUCCGGUCCCCACCAGGCGACCUUGAUCCUGGCGUGCUCAGCGGAGCCAGCGCAGCGUCGGGAGCUGGAGAGACGCGGGGCGCCGGCUGAGCGCUCCUGCCCUCUGCCUCUGGGCUAGCCUCUGGCCCGGCCUCCCGGCCUCCCCCAGGGUACGCUCUCCCCCAAGAGCGAACACCAGCUUUGGGAUCGCCAGCAGCCACGUCUCUGCUUCUAGAUCUCUUUUUUUUUUCUUUGAGACUUAGUUGAUAGCUGUUUAAGGAAUUAUGUGGAGGAAAUCUCACCUCCGACCCCCGCCCCCGUUGAGCACGGCCGGCCAGGGUCGCUGGGUGGGCCAGGAGGAAAGAAAGGGGCGGGGAAGAAGCAGCAAUUUUACUUUAAAUUAAAAUGACACAAAAAUAUUUUUUCAACUCAGAUCUUUCUGAGACAUCCCCAGAAAGCGUUGCAAGCUGUGAUUACACCUAAUGUGAGAGCAUGAACUAAUUUAAGAGGUGAGAGCUGCAUAAUGAGGCUGCCUCCCGUGUAGCAGCCAAGACUGGCAGCUCUGGCGGCGCGCUGGAGGGGACCGGGAGGGGCACCCUUGUAGAACCAGUCCCUGGCGCCCUGGGAUCUUCUCAGUGCCCUGGCGCUGUGUUGUCGGUCACUCCACAGAUAUUACAGGGUGCCUCCUGAAUGCCGGGUUGCAAUCAAGAGCAAGAGAUGGGGCGAGUGAAAGAGCCUGUUUUCAGGAGCUCAGCAUCAGGAUGACGAUUACCUAGAGGGAGGUGGUGGCCAGCCUCCCCCUCUUCUCUUCAUGCUGAGGCUCUGGUGGGCAGUGCCCAAGCCUGAACUGCCAUCUGUAUGCCAGUGGUUACCCAACUUGUAUUUUCAGUCUUAGCCUCUCUCUGGUCCAGACUUGUCAUUCUAAGGGCCCUUUUUCACUGACUCACAUUGUCUCCUCCCUCCCUGCCUUCCAAACUCAGCCUUUUCCUUUUUCCCUUUCCCACUGACAACAGCUGCACGACCCCCCCGCCCCCCCACGAGGUGAAAAUUCCCAAGAACCCCAUGUCUAACCUAACUCCCUCUCUAUGUCCUGUUGCUUGAGCCAUUCUCAUUAGGCUGCCUGUUCGGAGUUCAUUAUCUCCUAAUUUUUCAUCCAGGAAUUGAUGAAGAAUCACCUACUGCCUCUCCCACACACUGUUUAUUCUUUCAUUUGAUGAUAUCUGUUAAGUGCCCUGAGAUAUGUAACCUCCACUUCCCUCCCAUAUAAGUGAGAUUUCACGUUGAUUACUUCCUUGGCUUUCCUCAUCCCUUAUCCACAUAGCAUGUGUUCAAAAUAAUGAAUAUUAAUUUAAUGUUAAUAGAUAUGUGCUUUCCUGAAUUGUGAGGAUUAAAUGAAAUCAUGUAUAUAGGGAGGAAAAUCCAUUAGAAACCUCAAAAGCAGUUAUGUUUAUUUUUGCUAUUGUCACAUUGUUAGAGUCAGAAUUCUUUUAGCUGCAAGUGACAAAACCAACUCAAACUGGCUUAAGGACUUUAUUGGUUGAUGCAAAAAGCCUCGGGUUAGGUCUUGCCAUUUAAGGUAGGGCUGGAUCCAUCAAUCCGGGUUACCAGGAUCUGUUUUCUAGUUGUGGCUUCAUUUUCAGACAAGUUGUUUCCAUAUGAUAGCCUCAUAGAAGGUACUACCAGCUUAGUCCUAGCAAGAAAAAAGAGUACUUACUCUUCAAUAUUUGCAGCAGAAGUCCCAGGUCUGUUCUUAUGAGGGCAGUUUGAGUCACUUGCUCUUCUCUGAACGUGGAGAAGGCACUGUUUAGAUGAUGGAGGUUGGAUUCAGGUGCAUCCCCUGGAAUGGGGUUUGGCAUUAGCUUCACGUGGUCUAGAAUAAAGGGGUUCUCCAAAGGAAAAUUAGGGUAGGAAUGCUGAGUAAGCAGAACAAACAGAUGUCUACUUUAGUCCUUCCCAAAGGGUGAGCUGCAAUACAUUGCAGACUAUCAGAAUGGUGAUGAACACGGAUGCAGUAGCCAAGAAAAUAGAUGUGUGUUUGUCGUGGUCUUUUUCAGUCUUCAAGAUCUCAGUUAAACAUGAAGUCAACCACUCACUAUGAUGUUAUUUGAGGUUUAGCUUUGAAGUGGAAAUGUACCACAAAUAGUAGAGCCAGAUAAAUACAAAUAAAUAAUUUUAACAGUCCAUUCUAAAAGAUUUCUUUGGUAAUAUUCUGUUGGAAUUGAUUUCUAUCUUUUCAUUUGUUAGGUUCCUGGAAAGUGAAAAUUUCAUUUCUUUGUGGACAGGUACCUAAAAUGUCUCAUUAUUCAUCAAUUAAUGAAAAACAAAUGAAAAUUUGAGAGAGAUAUUCUGAAGAAUAAAAGGAUCAAGUUGGGUCAUUUCUAAAAUGUAAGAUUAUAAGGUUUAACUUGCUAAGACUUUUGAGGGGUUGAAUUAUUGGUAAAUUAUUAUAGAACCACUUAUCUGAGGCUUUUAAAAGUGAUGUGUUACAGAGAUUUAGGGAACUGCAAGAUUGCAGAUAAAGAAUUUAUACUGUCAACUGUUCUAUACUUUACCUUCUGCUUUAAAUGCGGCCUUAUAUUUUGAAGUCAAACAUUUAUUUUCUCUCACUGCGUUCUGAAUUUCCUACCACAGUGCAUUUUGAGAAAUGAAUAUAACAGCAGUCUUCAUAGAUGCCAUAUUCAUGGCAACUCUGUCCCCCGCCAACACCACACCCUGGAAAAAAACCAACUUUCUAUUGUUGGAAUGAGGUAACAUUUUCAGGAAAAGGGAACCAUUUUCUCACAGGAUAUAGAACAAAUUCAACCUUUUAUUAAAUCAAAAUGGAUUCUCUAAUGUUUAUACAUAUCAUAUAGGAUUUCAUCUCUUUCAAUCUUGGUUCAAAGGCCCAGACAGUACCAUUCCCUAGUAUUUAGUCCAUUUGCUCAUAAAGCAGAAGAGAAAAGCUACUUUGUUCCGAAGGGUGUUAGAUUUAGGAUUCCAAGGUUAUUUCAAAUUAAUGCCUGGAACUAGACUAUAAAAUGCAGGAAAGAUUCUAAGUUGUUCAAAGAUGAAAUAUCUUAACUUUCACCAAAAACUCUGUCUUCUGGGUAUUUUUUGUUUUUCUGCCUUUCCAGAUUUAUUUUAAAUACAACAUUUUUGCUGUUUACAUUUUUAAAAGUUACAUUUCAAAAUUGUUCAUAAUUGGACACUUUCAUAAAAUGUAGGCAAAUGCAGUUUUACUUUUUAAUGAAGGACAAGUCUGUUGAUAACAUUUUGAUUCUUAAAAUUUUUUUUAUCUUAUAAAAAUGAAACAAUGCAUUUAAAGUGUCUUCAGCUCUUAUGUUAAUACCAAAUUAUACAUUUUCUUAGCCCAUGUUCAGGAGAGACAAUAUAUCUUCCAAAUUAAGAGAAGCUGGCACCAUUUUUAAAACAAGGCCUUGAAUCUGCUGUGGUAUGUGCUGGUAGGAAUUUUGUAUGAAGCUGUUAUUGAAGUAGAUGACAUUAAGGUCAAAGGAAAAAAAAAACAGAAAAUAAUGUAAUCCUACAGAGCUGCUCUUAAGAUCUUGAGAGAAAAACCACGUAGGUAACAUCAAACACUAGUUGGAAUCUUUCCAAGAAGUAAUUAUCUGUGUGCUGUUUGUGGUGGUUGAUUAUGGGAACAAACCAAGGUUUAGCCAAUUCAGCAAACAUUUAUGGAGUGCCUGCAAUGUGCAUGUCACUGUUUUAAGGCCUGUGCCUACUGUAAAGGUGACCCACACAUGAUGCCUGCCUUGCAGGACUUGGAGUUCAGCGAUAAUAAGAGAUGCAUACCUGAAAAGCCUAUUUAAGACUCUUCCGGUUCUACAAAGAAGGCUUCUUGAAAGUGGUAGCUUUGAUUACUCUUUGGAUUUAUUUACAUUUAUCCUAUAAUCAGAAGGUAUACAAAACAGACUCACACAUAUAUAAAAUUAAUAGAUUAGAUAGCAUUUAAACAAAUAUUUCAGGUAGGUACUUCAAAUGCAUUUGACAUUUAUCAAAGAAAUGGUAAGUGCUGUCAUCCGUGGGUGGCUGGAUUAACAUGUGGGACUACUUAUCACCAAUUUUGUUAGGGAUCUUAGGGAAAUUCCUGGAUCUUAUAUUCACAAGCAAUUGUAUAAAUACUUCCCACAGCUCAGAGACCUAAUAGGAUGGGGUCUUAGAGAAACAUCUUUUGAGCCACAGACUUCUUUGUUACCAGAAGGAAAAUGAAAGAAGAAAUUUAAAUACCACUUGAAGAGAGAGAGUGUGAAGAAAUGACCCUGAAAAGCCUCUGGCAGAGGAUUCUUCUUUCAGGAUGGUGUCGCCUCCUCAGCAGCCCAUCCUCCUCCCCUGGACUCAAGCUCUCAUUCCAGUAACACUCCUUCCUCCUUCUCCAUCUUCAGGGGGAGGUUUGCCAGUCGGUGGGUUCUAAGCAUAUCUCGCUGAUUCCCCCCAACCCUGCCGACACCUCUGUAGGUCGUCCCUUCAUUAAAAUCUCUCCAUUUGAACUAUCUGAGUUUAAUUCCAUUUCCUCCUGGUAUCUCAGUGAUACACGGUAUCAGUACAAAAAUCUCGCUUCACCUUCAGAACCAACAGAUUUGAGACAUUUUAUCCUCUGUGGAACCAUUAGUUAUUUUGUCAUUGGUUGUAUCAGAAAAAAAAAUCAGGAAUGCAAAUCCUUCUUUAUUACAGAUUCAGAUUUGCAUAUUACCAAUGUUAUAUAUUUUAAACAAAACUAUUCAUCAUAAGUUUUAAAAAUUAACUACUGGAGUAGUUAAUGAAUCUGAAUGUAAUUAUGUAGCUUUCAUAAUAUUAAAGUAAAAAUACUAAAAGAAGUAUUUCUUAAAGAAGCAAAUGCUCAAUCUCCAAGUAAAUUUUAUUCUAUGCUCUUCCGGUAUAAGAAUAUGUUAAUAUCUUGAAAAAUAUCAUAUUAUUUUGUGAACUCAUAAAGCUAUUUUGAGUUUUUGUAAAAUGAAAACCUUACCAAAAUGUAUUUUAUUGUUGGAAAGCUUGACCGUUACUGCUGUUUAAUUUUUUGAGCUUGUAAACUUUAUUUGUGCAUGUUUUCAACAAAGAAGGAUUUUAUUGUUAUUACAUAAAACAGGUGAUUUCUAGAUUUUAAAAUCACAAAUUGAAAGCAAGGCACAAUAAUAUAUAUUUCAAGAUAUAGGUACUUAGGAGGCAUCCUUUUAGUCAUCUGUUCAAUGUAGCCAUCUAUUUUACACCUACUGUCUACUAUUGUUUGAGGUCCUUGCCAAAGUAUUGCAGGCUAGUUAGGAAACAUAAAACAAUUAGAAAGUAAUCUAUGACAAGUAAGCUAUCUAUAAAUGGCAAUGAAGGGUAGAACAAAUUCAAUGAAAAUAUCUAUUUAAUCCUAGUGUUUACUGGUCUAGAAGAAUAGGCUGAGUAAAUUAGUAUUUCUCUGGCUGUUGUGGUAACACAUUGCAUGCUAUAACAGUUUUAAGUAAUUACAGGUGCAUUGAAAUUUAUCUAUGGCUUUGUCAUCAUAUUCUAAAAUGUCAUGAGUACUUUUUUCUGACCUCAAUUACUAUGAAAUUGGUUUCCAAUAUUUAAUUAACCAAGAAUAUCAAGUCUAUAGGGUAUUAUUAAGGUGAGACUUCUGUAGCCUUUUCAAUAAAGACCAGAAUUUUGGAGUGCCUUGAACCUUAAUCAUUGAUCUUUAAUUCUUAUUAAGUCAACUGCCCACCUUUUAAAGACUGAGGCCCAGGAAGAGUAAGUUUCUCUGAGACAAUGCAUACAGUACAGUGCUUCUUGGGUAUUGGCUCUAAGACCAGAUGCAAAGAAAGGCUAAAAUCCCAUUUCAUUGUUCAUUAGGUGAGAACCCUUUGUUAAGCUGUGUAACCUCUGUGCAUAGUUUCCUCAUCAGCAAAGUCAGAAAAAGUAUGUACCUGAAGGACUGAUUGUAAGGCUGGGAUGAGAGAAUCCAUGUGAUCAGCCCUCACCAACAGGUGCUGCCCAGUUCAUGAGUGCUGCUGCUGUCCUGCCCAAGUACCCAGCUUGCAGAGUGCCAGAGUUAGAGUCCCAGGGGUGUUCUCCACAGCUGCAUGCUUGAUCCAGGCCUAUCAGGUGAGUUGGCUCUUGGCUAGUGGUUUUUCUUCUCUUGCUGUACAAAAGUCCAGACAGUAAUGUCUUUUUUUCAUUUUUAUAGAUAUAUUCCAUUGAAAGUCCUCAUUCUCAAAUUUAAAACAAAGACUUUUUGUGUACCUCAAUAGCAAUGCACACACAGUUGGCUUCACAAACAUAUUGUACAUUUCUUUUUUUCAUAUUUAUUCAACAAAUGUAUAUUGACUACCCACCGUGUGACAGGUGUUAUUUGUUGACGGAACCAGGCAUCAUCAGCAAACAAAACUGACAAAGCUUCCUGCCCUCUGUGGAAGGCAUCUGAGGAAGAGACUGGAUUUUGUAGCAACAUGUUAUUCUCAUUAUAAACUUUAUCAUUGGAAUACUAAAGCCAAAUCAUCCCCCAUCUCCUUGAUCAGGAUACCCACUUAAUCUAGGCAGCUACACAAUUGUGAGAGCCUUUGUUUUUUUCUGCUGAAACAUCCUUAAAAAGAUACCUCACAACCCAAGAUUUGGCUUUUCUUAAAUACGAUUUUUAAUUUUUUUCAUUUCUAUCUAGAGAUUUAAUUGGAAAUGGAAAAUCAUCAAUUUUCCAAUUAAAUGUCUGUUCCAAUCAACAUUAUACCUUUUAGGUUGUCAUUGUCAUUUUUAAGUUUAAGCAACUUUAAGGAUUUUGAAUCUGGCUGCCUGUAAAUUAAAGGUGAAAGUAAUCA